rnacentral:rRNA from 1 species
AUGCUAGUCCUUCAGGUCUAUAAAUGGAACCCUCGUCUUCACGUACCACUCACACACACAACACACGAGAAAGACAGAGCGAGCAAGAAUCUGUCCCUAUUCCUCAUAGAGACGGCCAUGGCCAUUCCUCCUAAAAAUGCUCUCUACUUCCUGCUGCUCGUCUCCAGCUUCAUCCUUGGCGCCAUGGCGGAUCUAGCCUUAUCAUGCCCUUCCCGCUGUGAAGUGGAGCUACAAUGGACCUUAUACGCGCGGCAGAUUGGGGGCGGAGCAAACGCGAACCAGGAAGAGAUGGUUCACUCCGUGCACCCCACCACAGGAUUUGGUACGAUCGUCGUCAACAACUGGGAUGUGCUCGACGCGCCUCUGCCUAACGCAGCCAUAGUUGCCCGUGCAAGAGGCACUCACACCAAGGCUGGCCCAGCCGCCGGUGACUGGUUCACUUCUCUCAGCAUAGUCUUCGAGGGAGCCAGGUUCAAUGGGUCGACCUUUCAAGUCAUGGGGAUCACCAAUACAGAUGGUCUGUGGGCUAUUGUUGGCGGUACCAAAGAAUUGUCCAGGGCAGAUGGCACCAUUAAACAUACUCUGUUAAGGGCGACGGCCCUUGAGAACUAUAGACAACUGGAUAUUCGUGCAUUCUAUACCCCGCCUGCGGUUAAUGCAAAUGGUAUUGCUGCCCGGUAA